rnacentral:rRNA from 1 species
AUUGAACGCUGGCGGCAGGCCUAACACAUGCAAGUCGAACGGUAACAGGAAACAGCUUGCUGUUUCGCUGACGAGUGGCGGACGGGUGAGUAAUGUCAGGGAAACUGCCUGAUGGAGGGGGAUAACUACUGGAAACGGUAGCUAAUACCGCAUAACGUCGCAAGACCAAAGAGGGGGACCUUCGGGCCUCUUGCCAUCGGAUGUGCCCAGAUGGGAUUAGCUUGUUGGUGGGGUAACGGCUCACCAAGGCGACGAUCCCUAGCUGGUCUGAGAGGAUGACCAGCCACACUGGAACUGAGACACGGUCCAGACUCCUACGGGAGGCAGCAGUGGGGAAUAUUGCACAAUGGGCGCAAGCCUGAUGCAGCCAUGCCGCGUGUAUGAAGAAGGCCUUCGGGUUGUAAAGUACUUUCAGCGGGGAGGAAGGGAGUAAAGUUAAUACCUUUACUCAUUGACGUUACCCGCAGAAGAAGCACCGGCUAACUCCGUGCCAGCCGCCGCCGUAA